AGGGAUCAUUACAGGGUCUAACGACGCCCAAACCCAUACCGUGCUCUUGAUGAACACCACAAAGCCGAGGCAGCGUCGCUCGCUGGGGGAGCCGCUGGCCGGGACCUUUCCCGGUGGCCUGCCGUAGGCGAGAAAUAAAUUCUAUGCUUUUCGAGAAUUCUGAGAAUUAAGCUUAAAAAUUACAACUCACAACAAUGGAUCUCUUGGCUCUGGCAUCGAUGAAGAACGCAGCGAAAUGCGAUAAAUAAUAUGAAUUGCAGAAUUCAGCGAAUCAUCGAGUUUUUGAACGCAUAUUGCGCCCUCUGGUAUUCCGGAGGGCAUGUCCGACCGAGCGUCGCAGACGCCGCUCGAGCCUAACCUGCGUGUUUGCGCAGGGCUCGGUGUUGGGGCCGAAGGAAGGGCGCUGGCCGCCCUUUCGUAGCCCUCAAAUUUAGUGGCGGUCCGCUG
rnacentral:misc_RNA from 1 species